UGGGGGUCGACGCAGGGGGCUUGUCAUACUCCAAGAGACAGAAAUUGGACCCCUGCCUGAUGCCGACAUGGUUGGAAUUGCUUCUGGUAAUUUAUUAUCUUGGUCCGGAUAUGUAGAAGAAGAGGGCCAAGUAUGCAAGCUUAUUACAUAUUUACAAGAAAAUAUGGUUGUGCUAUGAGGAAGGACUAUAGACUAAAGCUGGAAGAAAACACAUACUAAAUAGGAUAAAGUAACGGCAUUUAAAUGUUCCAAUACCGGGCAAAUAACUCUUCUCUACUUAAGUACCUACUGGAGGCCUUGGAUCGGUUGCAGCGACGUGCAGUCCGCAUUAUUGGUGACGCAAAAGGUCACAAACACCCUUGAACCUAUACAAUUCCGUCGAGAGAUAGCAGCGCUGAGCGCUUUGUAUCGACUGUAUCACGGCGAGUGCUCAGAGGAAUUAUUCUCUCUAAUUCCUGCUUUCCCCUUCCUUCAUAAAUCUACGCGAGCUAUCUCUCGAUGUCACCGCCUAACUGUGACAUCAAUUCCACCGCGCACAAAGAAAUUUGGCAACUCCUUUCUUUGUCGCACUUCCAAAAAAUGGAAUUCCUUACCAGCUCACGUGUUCCCCUCCUCCUACAACCCGGGUUCCUUCAAACGAGGCAUGAAGAGGCAUCUUGCGGGCCGGCAAGGCGAAGGCGGCUAGUGCAGAACAUUCUUCCCGUGUGUACUGGCCGUCGUCGCGUUUGGACUCUACUACCACUUACCAUUAGGUGGAGUAGAGUCAUUUGCCCUCUCGGCGAAUAUAAAAAAAAGCAGAUGUUUUGGAUCUUAUUCCGAAUCACUGCCCCAAUGCGCCUUGACCUGUACAAAUUGGCAAAAUUUCUUCAGAGUCAUGCAUUUUUCACUGUCGGAAAGUAAAUGAUAUAAGGACAAACAAAUGAUUUUACAACUAAUGGAACUGUUAUAAAAUAUAAUUAUAAAUUAUA